UGCAAGUCGAGCGAGCUGAAUUCAAAGAUUCCUUCGGGAUGAUUUGUUGGACGCUAGCGGCGGAUGGGUGAGUAACACGUGGGCAAUCUGCCCUAAAGACUGGGAUACCACUUGGAAACAGGUGCUAAUACCGGAUAACAACAUGAAUCGCAUGAUUCAAGUUUGAAAGGCGGCGCAAGCUGUCACUUUAGGAUGAGCCCGCGGCGCAUUAGCUAGUUGGUGGGGUAAAGGCCUACCAAGGCAAUGAUGCGUAGCCGAGUUGAGAGACUGAUCGGCCACAUUGGGACUGAGACACGGCCCAAACUCCUACGGGAGGCAGCAGUAGGGAAUCUUCCACAAUGGACGCAAGUCUGAUGGAGCAACGCCGCGUGAGUGAAGAAGGUUUUCGGAUCGUAAAGCUCUGUUGUUGGUGAAGAAGGAUAGAGGCAGUAACUGGUCUUUAUUUGACGGUAAUCAACCAGAAAGUCACGGCUAACUACGUGCCAGCAGCCGCGGUAAUACGUAGGUGGCAAGCGUUGUCCGGAUUUAUUGGGCGUAAAGCGAGCGCAGGCGGAAUGAUAAGUCUGAUGUGAAAGCCCACGGCUCAACCGUGGAACUGCAUCGGAAACUGUCAUUCUUGAGUGCAGAAGAGGAGAGUGGAAUUCCAUGUGUAGCGGUGGAAUGCGUAGAUAUAUGGAAGAACACCAGUGGCGAAGGCGGCUCUCUGGUCUGCAACUGACGCUGAC
rnacentral:rRNA from 1 species